CAAUAUCACACACUAUAAUUAAUUAACUGAAGAGGUGGCCUAUGACCUGCAGGCAUUCUUGUCCUCAAGUCAAAGGAAAGCAGAAGCCCCUCCUUUGCUGCUUCCCCCACCAGAGAGGAGACUUGGGAGUCAGGAUCACUACUGGGUGGAAAUUCUUGGAUUCAAGAAAGGAAGUUGCACAUCAAGAUUAAAUUUGUUUCUAAACCAUUUUUUGCUAGUCAGUGCUUUCUCCUUCCUCCCGCUUCUCAGUAAGCAAGCUGAGAACGCUGAUGUUAAUGCGCCGGCCCCCUUGUCUCCCUGUAAUACCUUGUCUGGGCGCUUAUUGAAGCGCACGUCAUCGUCUUGUAGGAGCUGCUGUGACUUGUUUGUUCCUGGUGUUCAGACAGCGCAGCUGUUGCCUCAGCACGUUGGAGGCGAGUCUCCGAUUGCGCUGGGCCAGGCUCGCUCUGUUUGAUUGCCAGUGUGCUCGCUUCCAUUUGUGCUCAGCUUUUAAAUCGGCCUCUUUGCCAAAACCGACUAGCUCAGCAGUGAGAGAGAAUAGAUCAUGUUGAAAUCGCUUAAGAGAAUCGUACAGGAAGGGAUAAAGUUUCCCAGAAGAUUGGAAAUGGUAUCAGGUAAAAAAUACGAGUUAAUAUUGAGGGCGAUCGUCCAUUACCAGCCUGCUCCCACUUCCCCUUUAAGAGUAAGGAAGUCACUGAUUAUAAUCACCGCCACUUUCGGUCGUGGUUUUCGGUGCUCUUUCUGUCUUAUCUCGUGGAGUCCUCAUCACAUCCGUUGGGCCACCUCUGUACCGUCUGUUCAACCACUAGAGCGGCCCAGAUUGGACAAGAGUCUAGAAGCAUGCAGAUAUGCAUGAAGAUGUUAUGCAGACAGAAGCAGCAGAAGCAGUGAUAAAGGCAUGGUCUCAUGACUCAGUUUGGAAGUUCCAGAUUGAAGAACUGUUGAGGUCAGCAGCAGACUGAUUGAGUCAAGGUGAGUCCUCCUGUUCAGCUUCCAGACACAAAAACAUUAAC
rnacentral:lncRNA from 1 species